rnacentral:rRNA from 1 species
UACGGAGGGUGCGAGCGUUGUCCGGAAUCACUGGGCGGAAAGGGCGCGUAGGCGGCCUGGUAAGUAGGGGGUGAAAUCCUGCGGCUUAACCGCAGGGCUGCCUUCUAAACUGUCAGGCUAGAGCACGGUAGAGGCAGAUGGAAUUCCCGGUGUAGCGGUGGAAUGCGUAGAGAUCGGGAAGAACAUCAGUGGCGAAGGCGGUCUGCUGGGCCGUUGCUGACGCUGAGGCGCGACAGCGUGGGGAGCAAACAGG